rnacentral:rRNA from 1 species
AACGAACGCUGGCGGCGUGGAUAAGACAUGCAAGUCGAACAGGACAGACCGAGUAGCAAUAUUUGGAAUGUUCAGUGGCGAACGGGUGCGUAACACGUGGAUAACAUUCCGGAAAGCGGGGAAUAGCCCAGGGAAACUUGGAUUAAUACCGCAUGUGGCCGCAAGGCUAAAGACGGGGACCGCAAGGCCUGUCACUUUCCGAUUGGUCCGCGGCCUAUCAGCUAGGUGGCGGGGUAAUGGCCCACCAAGGCUACGACGGGUAGCUGGUCUUGGAGGACGACCAGCCACACUGGAACUGAGACACGGUCCAGACACCUACGGGUGGCAGCAGUCGAGAAUCUUUCACAAUGGGGGCAACCCUGAUGGAGCGACGCCGCGUGGAGGAUAAGGUCUUCGGAUUGUAAACUCCUGUCAUGCGAGAACAAGGUACUCAGGCUAAUAACCUGAUUGUUUGAUGGUACCGCAAGAGGAAGAGACGGCUAACUCUGUGCCAGCAGCCGCCGUAACAC